AUGCCGGAUGCCCUCCAGCCAAAAGGAUCGUGGGGUAUGGAGGCUCCUGCGCCGACCUCGCACGCGACCGGCUUUCCAACCGAGGGCAGAUGCAGCUACUUUGUGGAAAAGAAGAAGCGCUUCUGCAGGAUGGUGGUGGCCGCGGGGAAAAGGUUCUGUGGUGAACACGCUGGAGCCGCGGAGGAAGAAAAUGCUCGGAAAAGAAUCUUGUGUCCUUUAGAUCCAAAACAUACAGUAUAUGAAGACCAACUAGCAAAACAUUUAAAAAAAUGUAACUCAAGAGAGAAGCCAAAGCCUGAUUUCUUUACUCAAGAUGUAAAUGCAGGAUUAAAGGAAGAAAUGGAAAUUCCUGAGCAAUUAGUUCCAUUUUCUUCUCUAUCUGAAGAGCAGUUGGAAAACUUAAUUAAGAAAUUGAGAAAAGCAAGUGAAGGCUUGAAUUCUACACUUGAAGAUCACAUUAUGUCCCAUCCAGCAUUACAUGAUGCCCUUAAUGACCCUAAAAAUGGUGACUGUGCAGUCAAGCACCUGAAACAGCAGGCUUCUAUUUUAGGUAACAUUGAAAAAUUAAAGUUACUUGGUCCAAGAAGAUGCUUUGUUGAGUUUGGAGCAGGAAAGGGGAAGUUAUCUCACUGGGUUGAUAUUGCCUUAAAAGAUGCUGAAAACGUUCACUUCAUCCUGGUAGAGAAAGUGACCACAAGAUUCAAGGUAGAUGGUAAACACAGAAAAGAGAGCUCAGUGUUUGAAAGACUUCAGAUCGAUAUUCAACACUUGUGUCUGAACAGGGUUCCUGUGCUCAGAGAAGGAAGACUGCCUGUGGUAGGAAUUGGGAAGCAUCUGUGUGGGGUCGCAACAGAUCUUGCAUUACGAUGUUUGGUUGAAACCUAUGCUGCCAGUUUUGAGGAAAGGAAUGAAGAGCCUUUAGCCAAACGCGUAAAGAACGAUAAAAGAGACAAGGAAAGUAGCACUUUGUCCAAGGAAGAAAAUGAAGCAAAUGCCCCGGAGACGUGGGCCCCUGUGGCUGGCAUUGUCAUUGCACUCUGCUGUCACCACAGGUGUGACUGGAGACACUAUGUGGGCAAAGAGUAUUUCAGGGCUCUGGGCCUUGGGCCGGAGGAGUUCUACUAUUUCCAGAGAAUGAGUAGUUGGGCAACAUGUGGAAUGAGAAGGACAUCUUUGGGAGCCUCAGAUAUCACCACAAAGAGAAAAGAUGAUCAGAAUUAUGACAACGAAGAGCAUGAUGACGGAGGAGACAGACUCCCAGAUGGCAGCACUGAUAGUGUGCCUGGAGCUCUUACUGCUGAAGAAAAGAAGAAUAUAGGACAUCUUUGCAAACUGCUGAUUGACCAAGGCCGACUCCAGUAUUUACAGCAGAAAGGCUUCCGUCCUGCCUUACAGUACUAUACAGAGCCGUUGGUGUCUCUGGAGAACGUAUUACUAACUGCUGUACCAGCUCAUCUGUCAUCACAGAAAGCAACUCAGUAACAGAAAAGAAGUGUGAACGUCACUUGUCUCAAACAAAAAAGUUACAUUCCUUUUAAAUUAUAUUUUUAUAUUCACAAAAAUAUAAAUAACAGGUUUUUUUUGUUUUGGGUUUUUUUGUGUGUGUGUGCGUGUGUUUUUUGUUUUUUUUUUUUUUUUACUUCCAAAGUCCAAACAGAGGAUUCACCAAGUAUUCCUUUUCAGCAGGGCCCUUUGAAUUACUUUAUCCAUCAGAGUGUAUAGAGACUGGCAGAGUCAGACCGUUGACUUGGUCAUCUGAAACACAUAUAAUACAUCAACAUAUAAUUACAGUAUAAACUAAGUGUAUUCUGGGAAAUUUAUCUUUGGUUUUAUUUGAUAUAUUUUAUUUUUUGAGCUCCAGUUAUAAUAACCAAUGCCAGUUCGCAACAAGGGUCAGUCUGAGUGUGGGACUUUUUUCAGAAUGGGUCUAGAAAGAAUACUUGCAAUCUUCUCAAAUGCAGACAAAUUUAGAAAUGUAGGAAUUGGCAAAUGACAUUACCAUCGAAGUUCCAGAGCCAUACCUGGAUUUGUGCUCUCAAGAGUCUGUCCAUGACUCCAGAACCGAAGAGAUGAUUUCAAGGGGAAAAUAAUCUUACUUUAGGUCUUUGUUGGAUAAUUAGCUAGUGCAAACUUCUAAAGAAGGUUGCUUGUAAACAAAUCACCAAUCCAAUUUGAAAGUUGCAUGUAGCUUCUAAAGUUAAUUCAGUAUCUUUUAUCAGCCUCUUAUGUAUAAAUGUAACUAUAAAAAAAUAAGUAGGUUUUCUCCUGUUUGGGAAAAUAAUUAGUUUUUGUUUGUAUGAGACAGGGUCUCAUUUGCUAAUCCUUGGCCAGCCUGGAACUCAGAGAUACCCCUGCCUCUUCCUUCCAAGUGCUGGGAUUAAAAUCAUGUGCCCAUGCCAGCAGAAAAAGUAAUUUGGAUUAAAGUACAAAUUACAUAAUGAAACCAAAACCUCACAUUUAGGCUUUACAUAACUGAUAAGUAGUUUCUAUGCCCAAGCAAAUAUUAAACCAUAUAUGUCAUAAGAAUAUUCCUCUUCCACAUCUUACCUUGGAUUUGUUUCUACAUUUGUAAACAUUAUUUUAGUUGUUAGUAAAUAUGCGAAGACGAAGAUUCAGAAUCACUGAUUUUAGAUAUUAGAAUGACACUGGGAUCACUAUCUGUAUUUGGUAGGUCUAUGACUAAGUAGAAGCCAAACACCCUUACCUCCUGGCCUUUCUGUUUUAAUUGAAUCUCGUGUUUAAUUAGGUUUAAAUUCCAACCCUACCACCUCAGCUGGCAAGUUACUUCAUCUCUUUGUGCCUCAAUUUUCUCCCCUUAAAAUAGUGAUGAUGAUAACAGUUAUAAAACCUACCUCACAAGGUUGUGUAUAUCACAUGAGGUAUCACAGGUAAACCAAUUUGAAUGGUUCCAAGCAUAGAGUAAAUACUAACUAGAUAUAAUAGUAAUUCAUGAUUAUUUUAAUAUAAUGGGCUUUUAUUUUUUUAUUUAAGUUGUUGCUUUUUUUCUUGUAUUUUGUCAAAUAUUGUUAACGUACCAUUAUUUUUAAGUUAAUUGCUCAGAUUCUGUGGUGGUAUUGUGUUCCCUAAAAUAUUGUGCACGCUAAUAAACUUAUCUGGGGUCAGAGAAGAGAACAGCCACAAUAUUAAACAAAGAGGAUAGGCAGUGGUAUUAAUCCUAGCAUUCCAGAGGCAGAAAUUCCUCUGGAUCUCUGUGAGUUCAAGGCCACAAGGAAACAGCCAGGCAUGGUGACUCACGCCUUUAAUCCCAGAAAGUGAGCCUUUAAUCCCAAGGAAUGAUGGCAGAAAGCAGAAAGAUAUAUAAGGCGUGAGGACCAGAAACCAGAAGCUUUUGGCUGAUUAAGCUUUAGGCUUUUGAGCAACAGCUCAGCUGAGAUUCAUUCUGGAUGAGGACUGAGAGGUUUCUACUCUGAGGAAACAGGAUCGGCUGAGGAACUGGCGAGGUGAGGUAGCUGUGGCUUGUUCUGCUUCUCUGAUAUUCCAGCAUUCACCCCAAUAACUGGCCUCAGGUUUGAUUUUAUUAAUAAGACUUUAAGAUUCCUGCUACAAGAUUCCCCAAUCAAGAGAACAUAAAUGAAGAUAAUUCAUUGUUUAAGAAUUAUCCUAUGUCAUAAAUGUCAUUUUUAUCACAAAACUUGUUUUGUAUCAUUAAAAAUUUAUGUCCAGGACUAGAGAGAUGGCUCAUUGGUUAAGCACACCGGCUGCUCUUCCAGAGGUCCUGAGUUCAAUUCCCAGCAACCAUAUGGUAGUUCACAACCAUCUCUAGUAGGAUCUGAUGUCCUCUUCUGGCAUAAAAUCAUACAUGCAGAUAGAGCACUCAUACAUUAAGUUUUUUAAAAAAAAUCUAUGUCCAUAAGUAAAAAAUAUUCUACAAUGGGUAUAAUCUUGGUUGUGUUUCAGGAGACAUACAGUACAUCCCAGAAUUCUACUGAUACAGUCAGUAGACUGAUACUGAGCCAUUUAGUUCAAUCAUGUUCUGAUAAUGGUUCUGAGUACAUUACAGGGAAAUAAAUUUGUCCUUCCGGUGCUGAUCUUAAGUCAAGAUUACAGCUUUUCCAACCUUGUCUUUUCUUACCUCACAUAAAGAAUGUGAACUAGCACUUGUUAAGUCGUUAUUUCUUGAAUUUCACAUCCAUAGCUACAGCAUUGUACAUGUCCCACAGCUACAUAAACUCACUGCUAAAGUUGCAACUCCUCCUCAGUCUCUCUCCCUCCUCAUUCUGCCUAUCAAUCCAGAUCCAGUACUGACUCCCCAGUGGAAUACUGCUGUUCAGUUGUCCCAGAUGGAAACAGAUUCUCCCAAACACCGUUUUCCGUAAUUAUGCUGUCUCCUGCUUGGCCCUGAUGCUUUAUCCUCUCUUCCAAAACUAGGCCACAAACCAUUUUGAACUUUGUUGCCCGCCAUUCCCAGCUCGUCUUCACGACCCACAGUAGCACCGGUGGCUCCUGAAGGGAACAUUGCUAAGCAGCCUCUGGAUACCAGGGGAGGGUCCCCUAAAGGACAGGCUAGUACUGUGGUUGCACUCCUUUUCAAAGUAACUGGACCUAGUUAAAUUCCCUGCACCCAUAUGGCAGCUCACAACUCUCUAACUCCAGUUCCAAGGCAUCUGAUGCCCUCUUCUGGAUUCUGCAGGAACUGUUUUAAGAGGUGGAAGCUGGCCUCCCACAAUACAUAAAUCUCAUACCUGUUCGCCGUGACUCUUGGAUAUAUGCAUGCAUGAACUGAAGCCCAAACAGCUCCUGUUCCUCCUCUCCUUCUGUGUAGUCACUGGGAGGAAGCGUCACUUCCAGUCUCAGUGGGUUGUCUCGGAAGUUGACAAACCUAGCAUUUGACCAGAAAACAGUAUUUUAUAGGUACCACAGAAGUGCGUGUACAUUUAUUUCCCUGGGAAAAGAUCAAGAGACAGUCUAUAGAGUUACUAUUUUCAACUGUUUUCAAUAUCUGAUUAUCUUGCUGGGUAUAUCUAAUAUACCCCAAGAAGAGACAGUGUUUCACCCCAAAGCUUACAAAGAGAACUAUUAGUUCAUAACAUGUAUUUAAUGUGAUGAGAGCAAGUUGUAUCAUAAAUCUAUGACUAAUGCUG